GCUUGUCUCAAAGAUUAAGCCAUGCAUGUCUAAGUAUAAGCAAUUAUACCGCGAAACUGCGAAUGGCUCAUUAUAUAAGUUAUCGUUUAUUUGAUAGUACUUUACUACUUGGAUAACCGUGGUAAUUCUAGAGCUAAUACAUGCUUAAAAUCCCGACUUCGGAAGGGAUGUAUUUAUUAGAUUAAAAACCAAUGCCCUUCGGGGCUCCUUGGUGAUUCAUGAUAACUUCUCGAAUCGCAUGGCCUUGUGCCGGCGAUGGUUCAUUCAAAUUUCUUCCCUAUCAACUUUCGAUGUUUGGGUAUUGGCCAAACAUGGUUGCAACGGGUAACGGAGGGUUAGGGCUCGACCCCGGAGAAGGAGCCUGAGAAACGGCUACUACAUCCAAGGAAGGCAGCAGGCGCGCAAAUUACCCAAUCCCGACUCGGGGAGGUAGUGACAAUAAAUACUGAUACAGGGCUCUUUUGGGUCUUGUAAUCGGAAUGAGUACAAUUUAAAUCCCUUAACGAGGAACAAUUGGAGG
rnacentral:rRNA from 1 species